rnacentral:lncRNA from 7 species
GGGGCGCCACCGUGAAUAAUGAUCGCCGCUUUCGAGCGGGCGUGGGGCCCGGCGGCGCAGCAGGAUGAGGAUGAGCUAGCUGCUGCCAAAGCGACCAGCGCCCCCGAACAAAGGGGACCAUGGGGUGGUCUCAUGUGUAUCUGCAGUUCUGCACCGCGAGGACGACGGGAGAUGGCAUGGAUAGAUUGAGGAAUUGAGCUGGGGCCUGGGUCUAUACAACGACUCUACAGCAACGGAGGCGCGCUACGCUCACGGCGUCAAUCAAAAGACGUGUAUCUAUCGUAAAUGUGUGUGUAUAUAUACAUGCACAAUAUCUAUGUACGUAGUGAAGCUUCCACUCACUUGAAGAUGGCGCCUUUUUGGGGGUGCAUCAGUGUACAGCAUGUACUAGAAACAGGUUGGACCAAGGACUGGACACCGCACUAAAGAUGCGCCGAGGACCCCGUCCUUCUUGAGUGCGUCUUUGCCUAGUGCUCUGCCUGAUUUGCUCAUCACAACAGAUCCGGUCCGGUUUUAUGGGCCGAGAGGUCCAUGGAAGGAUGCACGGGAACACUAUAUAUAGUGUGUGUGUGGGCUGUGGAAUAUACUGUUCGUUGCUAUAGAUUAUGUGCCCCACUACAUGUAGUCAUAUAUCCAGUACUCCUUUUGC